AUUGUACUAAAAUUUGAAAUUGGAUUUGUACCUAAAUGCAUGCGUCUGUGUGAGUACUGAAAUGUAUAUAGUUAUUUAAUCUUAAUGUAAGUGAACAGUAUGUUCUUUUUGAGAAUAAAUUCUUAAAACCGA